AGCGAACGUUAGCGGCGGGCUUAACACAUGCAAGUCGAACGCGAAAGGGAUUCGUCCCCAGUAGCGUGGCGUCCGGGUGAGUAACACGUAGGAAACCUUGCCUAGAGUGGGGAGUAACGUCCCGAAAGGGACGGCUAAUACCGCAUAAGCCCACGUCGGCCUCGGCCGAUGCGGGAAAAGAUGGCCUCUGAAUUCAAGCUAUCGCUCAAGGAUGGUCCUGCGGCGCAUCAGCUAGUUGGUGGGGUAACGGCCUACCAAGGCGAAGACGCGUAGCUGGUCUGAGAGGAUGAUCAGCCACACUGGCACUGAAACACGGGCCAGACUCCUACGGGAGGCAGCAGUGGGGAAUAUUGGACAAUGGGCGCAAGCCUGAUCCAGCCACGCCGCGUGAGUGAUGAAGGCCUUCGGUUGUAAAGUCUCUGUGGGAGGGGCGAAACGGACCGGUAAGAAACGACCGGUACCUU
rnacentral:rRNA from 1 species